GCUGGAAUGAAAAGACAACCCACAGUGCGUCAGCACACAACUUAACACAGACCAUCUACACUGGAACAGAAACUUAACACAACUUGCAUGAGAUGUUUACUGUGUACCAGGGGAAGGCACUAAGAAGAAUGGAAAAGUGAAUGGGGUCUACGUGAUCUUGAGUUUCAUUGCCUCAUUUGACAGCGGCAAGAGAUGCUGCCCACAGGUGUUAAGGUAAACUAUUAGUGGUUGGAAUCUCUCGGGUCUUCUGAUUAUUAGGAUGGCACUUCCUACACUGCCUCUGCCUUUGAGGGACUUACAAUUUUGUCAGAAAGAACUAAGGAAUAAUUAUAAUGCAAUGCAGCAGGUGGUAAAGGUACUCUAGGGUGCUAUGGAAAGGAACAGUUAACAUUUGGUUGUGAGUGGUCAGAACAUUUUAUUCGGCCUUGGUCUUGGAAGAUAAGAUUUAGACAGCAGACAAUGUGAGUGGAGAGAUUCCAGGCAGAGGGAACAUCACAAAUGAGGUAGGAAACUGUAUGGAUGCAUGAGUAACAGACAUUUUCUACGGUAGAGUACAAGUUGCGAUAUGGUACUAUAAACACACGUAUUUAUGCUUUUCAGUUUUCUGUUAAAGAUUUUUUCCUGCUAUAAGUAUAUAUGAUAUCACAGUUUUCAUCCCUGGCCUGUAAUUAUAGCGCUCCAGAAAUCCUGGGCCUAUGACUGUUGGAAGGAAUCUCUUAGGGAAUCAUGGCCACAUGUGCCUCAGCCAUAAAUAACCAUUUCCACUUCCUUGUACAAGCCAAGCUUUAUAAUCUAGAAGCACACUUUAAAUAUACAAUAAUCUAUAUCAUUAGAUGCUAACAACAGCUAAAAUUGUUAGAGUUGAACUUCCAUAACAUUAUUUAUGAAUAUAUUGUUAAUAUUAUAUCAACUAUGUCUCAUCUGGCAUAAGUACUUUGUUAAAAACCAUAUCAAAGUAAACUGAACUUUGAAAAACUAAACUCUAAUGCAGAGUACACAUGAAAUCAUGCUUGUGGAAUAGUUUCUUGCCAUUAGAUUUUGAAUAUAUUUACUCUUCCAAUCAACAGAUAUUUACUGAUUUCCUAUUAUGUAGUAGGAAUUCAAUAAAAGUGGUUUGUUCACUUUUUCAAAGUAGUUUGCUUUUGAGAGAGAAUUCUGUUACAAGCAGUGCUGACUACCUGGAAUGAACUUGUAUCUGUAAGAGUAUUUUCCUUAUUUAUCUUAAAUAAAGUGGAUUCACAUCUGUUCUUUAAAUGUACUUCUAUUCUCCUUUAAUCAACUCCAGUACUGUAGAUAAUUUUUUAAACUGAAAUCUGAUUAUCACGGGGUAUGCUCUCUGAUCUACAAAAAAUAAAAAAGCAAACACCCGCAAUUUAAGGUAAGUCUAAUAACAAGAGGAAUAGUCUAAUCUGGCUCUAUGUCUGCCAAUGCUCUAACUACAUUUGCAGAAUAAAAUGGUUCUGUGAUCUGAUGUCAGUGAGCCCGAAGUGCUCUACCUCUUUUUUGUCUGUACCUGGUUUCCUGGCCUGGGCCAUGCCAUCCACCAGCCACUCUCGCAGCAGAAAGAUCUAGCCUCCUUAAGACAGGUCUUAUCAGCUACUUUUCUUUGGCAGGCGAAAUCUUGCAAAUCCUACAAAAAGCUCACUAAAGCAGCUCUCACAUGUAAACACAAUCAUACUCGACUCUUUUGCUGGAGAUUUACAACGUGCUCAUUGUCUCCGACGAGCAGCAUAUUCUAUUUGCGUGUCUAGGAGGGAAUGGUACAAAACCAUUCAUUUUUUUUCCUCCCAUUUACAUGUAAUGAUAUGAUGGACUAGCAGAAGAAUAAUUAGCCAAAACUUGCAACCAGUGGCUCCUGAUCAACCAGAACCUUUUGAGCAUAAGUUGCUUAAAUAAUUAAAAAUUCAUGAUUAUAAUUGUAUCAAAUUUUUUAAAAUAAACAUUCUAAUAUGGAAGACUAUAAAGUAUAUCCUAACCAGUCCUUCACUUCAAAUUGUUCACAUUGUAUCCAGGAAAAAGGAAAAUGAUUUUACACAGUGAGUUUGUCAACCUCUCUUAUUUUCUAAAAUAAAGUCCUCAAGAGUCCCAUCUGUCUAGAACUAUUUACAUAAAAUCUUCCAGGACCUAAGAAGCUUGACGGAAAAAAAAUACCUCUGAAAAUGUAAUCUGAUGUUUCCUAAUUCUCUCUUCAGGUGACAGACUACUCUAGGACUGCUGCAGAUUAGCACCAUUAUUAUUAUUAUUUUUUUGAGACGGAGUCUCACUGUGUCGCCCAGGCUGGAGUGAAGUGGCACAGUCUCUGCUCACUGCAAGCUCUACCUCCCGGGUUCACGCCAUUCUCCUGCCUCAGCCUCCCAAGUAGGUGGGACUACAGGCACACACCACCACGCAUGGCUAAUUUUUCAUAUUUUUAGUAGAGACGGGGUUUCACUGUGUUAUCCAGGAUGGUCUCGAUCUCCUGACCUCAUGAUCCAGCCGCCUCGGCCUCCCAAAGUGCAGGGAUUACAGGCGUGAGCCACCGUGCCUGGCCUAACCCAAAUAUUCUUUAAAAAUAUUUUCUGCAUAGUAUACUGAAUGACAUCUAACAAGUUAACUCAUUAUUAAUAUCACUCAUGGUUGAAGACAGUAUAAAGCUACUUGCAAGUUGAUGAAAAAGAAAAAUAUAUAGAUAAAAAGUUCUAAUUAUCAGAUUAUUCUUACCUAUUAGUAUGGCUAUAAAAAUAACUGAAUUCUUGUUUUUUCUAAGUUAACUGUGUUUUAUUUAAUGUGAAAAACAUUGAAGCAAACUUUCCCCCGUUAUUCCUUGAAUAUCUGUUGUAUUAUAAAAGCUGACAUUUAUUGAGUACUCACUAUGUGCUAGGUACUAUGCUCAGGUCUCUCUGUAGCAACAUUUCUUUAAACCUUACAAAAACUCUUAUGAGGCCUUUAUUUUGCUAAGGCUCAGAGAAACUGACUAAUGUAUCAAGAUUAGGGUAGAAGACAGUGAAGCAAGAACACAAUCUCACAUAAAGACUUACCCUAACCUACCAAAAAUACAUUAUUUCCUUGCCUAUUCUGAUAAGAAACUGAAACCAUCCGAGUAUGAUGUAUUAAGCAUAUGUUAAAAAUUACCACUUAAUGUAAUUAAAACAUUCAUUUUGUAUUGAGUUAUUUUAUUGGAUCAUUAUUUAAUGUUUCUUGACAUGACAGUGUCAGGUAAGUGUGUAUCUACCUAUGAAAGAACAGAACUACCUUCUGGGAAAUUUACAGUAUUUAUAGGUUUCUUAUAACUACACUUCUGUUUAAAUUAAAUUAAUGAAGACUAAGUAAAAAUUUACCACAGGGAGGAGUAAGGUCCCUCAUUGUGUAGCUUCUCUAUGCACUAAUAACCUCCUGGCAUGACAGGAGACACCUCAUGGACUGUUCAUUUAAAUCCUUACAAAGUAUGACUUUUAGAUCAUGUAGCUGGUUUCUGUCACUUUUUCACCUUAUCUCAAUAUCUGUGUUAAAUGAACCAAAUAAAUUGCAUGUGAAUUCUUUA